rnacentral:rRNA from 1 species
AUGCAUGCAGCAUGCAAACACCCAGCUUUGUGGGAUCAUUUACAGGAGAGUUUGAAGACCGUGAUAGCUAAGAGCCAUGAGUAUGAUCAGCUAAAGGAAAAUUUGAGUAAGAAAAUGGCUGAUCUUAGUACUUGUGCAAUUGAAUAUGUAGACGAUGGUGAAGGCAACAUAGUUGAAGUUCAAGAUCCAAUUAAAGUAUCAACGAAAGGUGCAACUAAGGUAGAUGAGAACCGCCCUAUGUCGAAAAAUGGUAGGCCACUUUCGUACGACGAGAUCAGAAUCAGAAGCGUGGUGGGCGAAGAAGAGUAG